UACAGAGGGUGCGAGCGUUGUCCGGAAUCACUGGGCGUAAAGGGCGCGCAGGCGGUCGGCCAAGUCGAGUGUGAAAGCCCCCGGCUCAACUGGGGAGGGUCAUUCGAUACUGGUCGACUCGAAGGCAGGAGAGGGAAGCGGAAUUCCCGGUGUAGUGGUGAAAUGCGUAGAUAUCGGGAGGAACACCAGUGGCGAAGGCGGCUUCCUGGCCUGUUCUUGACGCUGAGGCGCGAAAGCUAGGGGAGCAAACGGG
rnacentral:rRNA from 1 species